GCAAUGGUGGUUCAGUGGUAGAAUUCUCCCAUCCCAUGCCAAAGACCUAGGUUCGAUUCCCAGUCAAUGUA
rnacentral:tRNA from 1 species